rnacentral:tRNA from 1 species
GCCUUCGUGGUUUAGUGGUCAGCAAACUCGACGCGUAACCGAGAGGUCCGUGGUUCGAUUCCCGGCGAAGGCG